UACGGAGGGUGCGAGCGUUGUCCGGAAUCACUGGGCGUAAAGGCGCGUAGGCGGCCUGGCAAGUCGAUGGUGAAAGCCCGAGGCUCAACUUCGGGUCGGCCACUGAUACUGCUGGGCUUGAGUCGACUAGAGGCAGAUGGAAUUCCGGGUGUAGCGGAUGGAAUGCGUAGAGAUCCGGAAGAACACCGGUGGCGAAGGCGGUCUGCUGGGGUCGAACUGACGCUGAGGCG
rnacentral:rRNA from 1 species